GGUGUGUUAAAAGAGGAACAAGAAACAAUGCUGAAUAUGUACUGGGAAACAUAGGGUCACUCCCAUUGCUCUCACAUCAGACUGCAUGGGGCAGUCCUAGAGGUCAAUGGUGUGUUAAAAGAGGAACAAGAAACAAUGCUGAAUAUGUACUGGGAAACAUAGGGUCACUCCCAUUGCUCUCACAUCAGACUGCAUGGGGCAGUCCUAGAGGUCAAUGGUGUGUUAAAAGAGGAACAAGAAACAAUGCUGAAUAUGUACUGGGAAACAUAGGGUCACUCCCAUUGCUCUCACAUCAGACUGCAUGGGGCAGUCCUAGAGGUCAAUGGUGUGUUAAAAGAGGAACAAGAAACAAUGCUGAAUAUGUACUGGGAAACAUAGGGUCACUCCCAUUGCUCUCACAU